GGAGGGUGCAAGCGUUAAUCGGAAUUACUGGGCGUAAAGCGCACGCAGGCGGUUUGUUAAGUCAGAUGUGCAAUCCCCGGGCUCAACCUGGGAACUGCAUCUGAUACUGGCAAGCUUGAGUCUCGUAGAGGGGGGUAGAAUUCCAGGUGUAGCGGUGAAAUGCGUAGAGAUCUGGAGGAAUACCGGUGGCGAAGGCGGCCCCCUGGACGAAGACUGACGCUCAGGUGCGAAAGCGUGGGGAGCAAA
rnacentral:rRNA from 1 species